GUUUGAUCCUGGCUCAGGAUGAACGCUAGCGGCAGGCCUAACACAUGCAAGUCGAGGGGCAUCACGAGGUAGCAAUACUUUGGUGGCGACCGGCGCACGGGUGCGUAACGCGUAUGUAACCUACCUAUAACAGGGGCAUAACACUGAGAAAUUGGUACUAAUUCCCCAUAAUAUUCGGAGAGGCAUCUCUCCGGGUUGAAAACUCCGGUGGUUAUAGAUGGACAUGCGUUGUAUUAGCUAGUUGGUGAGGUAACGGCUCACCAAGGCAACGAUACAUAGGGGGACUGAGAGGUUAACCCCCCACACUGGUACUGAGACACGGACCAGACUCCUACGGGAGGCAGCAGUGAGGAAUAUUGGUCAAUGGACGCAAGUCUGAACCAGCCAUGCCGCGUGCAGGAAGACGGCUCUAUGAGUUGUAAACUGCUUUUGUACGAGGGUAAACGCUCUUACGUGUAAGAGCCUGAAAGUAUCGUACGAAUAAGGAUCGGCUAACUCCGUGCCAGCAGCCGCGGUAAUACGGAGGAUCCAAGCGUUAUCCGGAUUUAUUGGGUUUAAAGGGUGCGUAGGCGGUUUGAUAAGUUAGAGGUGAAAUUUCGGGGCUCAACCCUGAACGUGCCUCUAAUACUGUUGAGCUAGAGAGUAGUUGCGGUAGGCGGAAUGUAUGGUGUAGCGGUGAAAUGCUUAGAGAUCAUACAGAACACCGAUUGCGAAGGCAGCUUACCAAACUAUAUCUGACGUUGAGGCACGAAAGCGUGGGGAGCAAACAGGAUUAGAUACCCUGGUAGUCCACGCAGUAAACGAUGAUAACUCGUUGUCGGCGAUACACAGUCGGUGACUAAGCGAAAGCGAUAAGUUAUCCACCUGGGGAGUACGUUCGCAAGAAUGAAACUCAAAGGAAUUGACGGGGGCCCGCACAAGCGGAGGAACAUGUGGUUUAAUUCGAUGAUACGCGAGGAACCUUACCCGGGCUUGAACUGCAGCGGAAUGGUUUGGAAACAGA
rnacentral:rRNA from 1 species